CCUCCAUCGGAAACGGCCCACCUUCGUCACUCCGACGAAAUCCGGCGAACCACCCUGACACCUUCAAACUCGCCGCUGCAUUCUCAAUUUCCGGCGAAGCCCUGCUGUCGCACGUCCUCUGCCGCAAGAUUAAGGAAAAAGGGAUAUUACAAGCCUCCCCCGACUAUCAAAGUUACUAAGCAGGAUUUGAGGUAAUGACGGGGACGACGGAAUGGCGUAGCAGUGAGGAAUAAUUAUUACUUAAAUUAUGCAGACUCUUAUUAUUAUGUAUUCUAAGCUUAAGAACAUUAGUUUAUGAACCUUAAUUAUG